GACGAACGCUGGCGGCGUGCCUAACACAUGCAAGUCGAGCGGAGAAUGCAGCAAUGUAUUCUUAGCGGCGGACGGGUGAGUAACGCGUGGGCAACCUGCCUCACACAGGGGGAUAACACUGGGAAACUAGUGCUAAUACCGCAUAACAUCAUCGGGUGGCAUCAUCUGGUGAUCAAAGGAGCAAUCCGGUGUGAGAUGGGCCCGCGUCCGAUUAGCUAGUUGGUGGUGUAGAGGACCACCAAGGCGACGAUCGGUAGCCGAACUGAGAGGUUGAUCGGCCACAUUGGGACUGAGACACGGCCCAGACUCCUACGGGAGGCAGCAGUGGGGAAUAUUGCGCAAUGGAGGGAACUCUGACGCAGCAACGCCGCGUGAAGGAUGAAGGUCUUCGGAUUGUAAACUUCUUUAGUCGGGGACGAACAAAUGGCGGUACCCGAACGAAUAAGCCACGGCUAACUACGUGCCACGCAGCCGCGGUAAUACGUA
rnacentral:rRNA from 1 species